GAUGAACGCUGCCAGAAUGCUUAACACAUGCAAGUCGAUGGGGAAGUGGUGCUUGCACCAUGGUAACCAUGGCGGACGGGUGAGUAACGCGUAAGGAACUUACCUGCGGGACCGGGAUAACAGCAGGAAACUGCUGACAAGACCGGAUAAGGUCAUUAAGCUGCAUAGCUUAGUGAUGAAAGGAGACGCCUGCGGAGAGCCUUGCGUCCUAUUAGCUAGUUGGAGGGGUAACGGCCCACCAAGGCGAAGAUAGGUAGCCGGCCUGAGAGGGUGGACGGCCACAAGGGGACUGAGAUACGGCCCUUACUCCUACGGGAGGCAGCAGGGGGGAAUAUUGGACAAUGGGGGCAACCCUGAUCCAGCAAUUCUGUGUGCACGAAGACGGUUUUCGGAUUGUAAAGUGCUUUCAGCAGGGAAGAAGGAAGUGACGGUACCUGCAGAAGAAGCGACGGCUAAAUACGUG
rnacentral:rRNA from 1 species